rnacentral:rRNA from 1 species
CCAAGGAGUCUAACAUGUGCGCGAGUCGUCGGGUCUUGAACAGGCCCGCAGGCGAAAUGAAAGUGAAGGGCGACCCAGUCGUCGCCUGCGUUGGGAUCCCCGGGCCGCCGCGUCCGGGGCGCACCAACGGCCCGUCCCGUCCGCGUCGUCGGUGGGACGGAGCGAGAGCGUACACGUUGGGACCCGAAAGAUGGUGAACUAUGCCUGGGCAGGACGAGGCCAGAGGAAACUCUGGUGGAGGUCCGCAGCGAUUCUGACGUGCAAAUCGAUCGUCAGACCUGGGUAUAGGGGCGAAAGACUAAUCGAACCGUCUAGUAGCUGGUUCCCUCCGAAGUUUCCCUCAGGAUAGCUGGCGCUCGAGGGAGUCAGUCUCAUCCGGUAAAGCGAAUGAUUAGAGGCCUUGGGGCCGAAACGACCUCAACCUAUUCUCAAACUUUCAAUGGGUGAGAAGUCCGGUUUACAUGACUGAAGCCCGGACAAUUCUCAGGAUGCGAGUGCCCAGUGGGCCACUUUU